rnacentral:rRNA from 1 species
UACGUAGGGGCUAGCGUUAUCCGGAAUUACUGGGCGUAAAGGGUGCGUAGGCGGGCUAUUAAGUCAGUGGUGAAAUCCUGCAGCUUAACUGCAGAACUGCCGUUGAUACUGAUAGUCUUGAGUUUGGUUAAGGUAGGCGGAAUGUGUAAUGUAGCGGUGAAAUGCUUAGAUAUUACACAGAACACCAAUUGCGUAGGCAGCUUACUGAGCCGACACUGACGCUGAGGCACGAAAGCGUGGGGAUCAAACAGGAUUAGAUA